rnacentral:misc_RNA from 1 species
GCAAACUUGGUCAUUUAGAGGAAGUAAAAGUCGUAACAAGGUUUCCGUAGGUGAACCUGCGGAAGGAUCAUUACCGAGUUAGGGUGUCUGUUCGCAGCGCCCGACCUCCCAACCCUUUGUCUAUGAUACCUAAACAGUUGCUUCGGCGUGCCGAGGGGUCGUACCCUCGCCGGGCCUCACGGCCGGGAGCGCGCACGUCGACGGCCUUUAUCUAACACUUGAACCCAAAACCUGUCGUCUGAAAACUUGUGAUUAACCAAUAAUCAAAAACAAAACUUUCAACAACGGAUCUCUUGGUUCUGGCAUCGAUGAAGAACGCAGC